rnacentral:rRNA from 1 species
GAUGAACGCUGGCGGCGUGCCUAAUACAUGCAAGUCGAGCGAACAGAUAAGGAGCUUGCUCCUUUGACGUUAGCGGCGGAUGGGUGAGUAACACGUGGGUAACCUACCUAUAAGACUGGAAUAACUCCGGGAAACCGGGGCUAAUGCCGGAUAACAUGUUGAACCGCAUGGUUCUACAGUGAAAGGCGGCUUUGCUGUCACUUAUAGAUGGACCCGCGCCGUAUUAGCUAGUUGGUGAGGUAACGGCUCACCAAGGCAACGAUACGUAGCCGACCUGAGAGGGUGAUCGGCCACACUGGAACUGAGACACGGUCCAGACUCCUACGGGAGGCAGCAGUAGGGAAUCUUCCGCAAUGGGCGAAAGCCUGACGGAGCAACGCCGCGUGAGUGAUGAAGGUCUUCGGAUCGUAAAACUCUGUUAUUAGGGAAGAACAAAUGCGUAAGUAACUGUGCGCGUCUUGACGGUACCUAAUCAGAAAGCCACGGCUAACUACGUG